CGCACAGUUCGUGUAGUCUGCUAAGCAUCCCAUUUUGAUCAAUUUCAUCCACUACAAACUCUUUUCCAUCAUCCAAUUUUCUAGUUUCAUAAACAGAAGUAUUCUCCAUGUUAGUUUCAAACUCAUCCCAAGUUUCAAUUGAGUGAGAAGACAUUGAAGACUGAUCAUCUUCAAAACCCGACAUCCUCAACACUGCCCCACUAGUAUCCACCAUUCUAUCAAUACCCAGUUGGAUUUUAGUGGAGGAUUGAUCAGGUGACUCCUCCUGGGCGAUUGUAUUUUGAUCCAAAGUUAC
rnacentral:misc_RNA from 1 species